UGACUGCAGAUCAUUA
rnacentral:rRNA from 1 species